rnacentral:rRNA from 1 species
UAGUCAUAUGCUUGUCUCAAAGAUUAAGCCAUGCAUGUCUAAGUAUAAGCAAUUAUACAGCGAAACUGCGAAUGGCUCAUUAAAUCAGUUAUCGUUUAUUUGAUAGUACCUUACUACUUGGAUAACCGUGGUAAUUCUAGAGCUAAUACAUGCUAAAAACCCCGACUCACGAAGGGGUGUAUUUAUUAGAUUAAAAGCCAAUGCCCUUCGGGGCUCACUGGUGAUUCAUAAUAACUUGUCGAAUCGCAUGGCCUUGCGCCGGCGAUGGUUCAUUCAAAUUUCUGCCCUAUCAACUUUCGACGGCUGGGUCUUGGCCAGACAUGGUGACAACGGGUAACGGAGGGUUAGGGCUCGACCCCGGAGAACGAGCCUGAGAAACGGCUAUUACAUCCAAGGAAGGCAGCAGGCGCGCAAAUUACCCAAUACCGACUCGGUGAGGUAGUGACGAUAAAUACUGAUACAGGGCCCUUUUGGGUCUUGUAAUUGGAAUGAGUACAAUUUAAAUCCCUUAACGAGGAACAAUUGGAGGGCAAGUCUGGUGCCAGCAGCC